GACGAACGCUGGCGGCGUGCUUAACACAUGCAAGUCGAACGGAAAGGCCCCUUCUGGGGUCCUCGAGUGGCGCACGGGUGCGUAACACGUGAGUAACCUGCCCUUGACUUCGGGAUAACUUCAGGAAACUGGGGCUAAUACCGGAUAGGAAUCCUUGCUGCAUGGUGGGGGUUGGAAAGCUUCGGCGGUUUUGGAUGGACUCGCGGCUUAUCAGCUUGUUGGUGGGGUAGUGGCUUACCAAGGCUUUGACGGGUAGCCGGCCUGAGAGGGCGACCGGCCACAUUGGGACUGAGAUACGGCCCAGACGCCUACGGGAGGCAGCAGUGGGGAAUAUUGCACAAUGGGCGGAAGCCGGAUGCAGCAACGCCGCGUGCGGGAUGACGGCCUUCGGGUUGUAAACCGCUUUCAGCAGGGGCGAAGCUUGUGGUGACGGUACCUGCAGAAGAAGCACCGGCUAACUACGUG
rnacentral:rRNA from 1 species